rnacentral:rRNA from 1 species
UACAGAGGGGGCGAGCGUUGUUCGGAAUUACUGGGCGUAAAGGGCGCGUAGGCGGCCCGCUAAGUCGAACGUGAAAUCCCCCAGGCUCAACCUGGGAACUGCGUCCGAUACUGGCAGGCUUGAAUCCGGGAGAGGGAUGUGGAAUUCCAGGUGUAGCGGUGAAAUGCGUAGAUAUCUGGAGGAACGACCGGUGGCGAAGGCG